CCAGGGAAGAGGAUCAGCACUGCCCUGAGUCCCGUUUUCAGCCGGGGACGGUUUAGAAGGAACUGAGGGGGGUGCGGGACACGGGCACUCAGGAAGAUUCCAACGAGAUGGGAGAUACCAACUGAGCACGUGUGUCCCAACCAGGCACUGCUACCGAAAAUCUCCGAUCAAUGGCACCGGGAUGCUCCGACACCUAGAGUGGAACACCCACAGGGACAGCACUCGAAGAAAACAGACUUCUGGGAUGGAGAAGAAUUACAAGAAAACGUGUUCCAUUAUCUUUACAUCAUCAUCAUCAUCAAAUGGAGAAAUCUGAACCACUCCUUCCUGUGAGGUAAGGAUCGAGAGAAUUUCUUGAGACAAUUUUUCAUGCUUAUUUUCUGCACAUGUAUCUGCGAUCUUCUUCCAACCUUCCAAGGUACAGACCGUAUCAUUUAAAAUAACUUGUUCCAGUGCAUCUGAUGAAGAAAAAAAUAUCAUGUAGUGGCACAGUAUUUGCCCUCAAUCAGUUUCUGCUUUGCUCAUAUUAAACAAAGAACAGAAAGAGGUAUGAUCUUAGGGGAUAAUAUGACUACAGAUCAAUAAUUCUUUUUCCAGUUAGAUAAAUUCUAAGGUCAAGGACCAAAUAAAGAGA